GACGAACGCUGGCGGCGUGCUUAACACAUGCAAGUCGUACGGUAAGGCCCUUUCGGGGGUACACGAGUGGCGAACGGGUGAGUAACACGUGAGUAACCUGCCCACAACUUUGGGAUAACGCUAGGAAACUGGUGCUAAUACUGGAUAUGUGCUCCUGCUGCAUGGUGGGGGUUGGAAAGCUCCGGCGGUUGUGGAUGGACUCGCGGCCUAUCAGCUUGUUGGUGGGGUAGUGGCCUACCAAGGCGGCGACGGGUAGCCGGCCUGGGAGGGGGACCGGCCACAUUGGUACUAAGGAAGGGCCCAGACUCCUACGGGAGGCAGCAGGGGGAAAUAUGGCCCAGUGGGCCCAAGCCUGAGGCGGCAACCCCGGGGGCGGGAUGACGGCUUUCGGGUUGUAAACCGCUUUCAGCGGGAACAAACCUUUUUGUAACGGUACUAACAAAAAAAGCACCGGCUAACUACGU
rnacentral:rRNA from 1 species